AUUGAACGCUGGCGGCAUGCCUUACACAUGCAAGUCGAACGGUAACAGGUUAAGCUGACGAGUGGCGAACGGGUGAGUAAUGUAUCGGAACGUGCCCAGUCGUGGGGGAUAACUGCUCGAAAGAGCAGCUAAUACCGCAUACGACCUGAGGGUGAAAGCGGGGGAUCGCAAGACCUCGCGCGAUUGGAGCGGCCGAUAUCAGAUUAGGUAGUUGGUGAGGUAAAGGCUCACCAAGCCGACGAUCUGUAGCUGGUCUGAGAGGACGACCAGCCACACUGGGACUGAGACACGGCCCAGACUCCUACGGGAGGCAGCAGUGGGGAAUUUUGGACAAUGGGCGCAAGCCUGAUCCAGCCAUGCCGCGUGCGGGAAGAAGGCCUUCGGGUUGUAAACCGCCUUUGUCAGGGAAGAAAAGGUUCUGGCUAAUACCUGGGACUCAUGACGGUACCUGAAGAAUAAGCACCGGCUAACUACGUGCCAGCAGCCGCAGUAA
rnacentral:rRNA from 1 species